rnacentral:rRNA from 1 species
UGUGGAAGACCUAUUCGUUGCCGGAGCAGAUCAGCCCGCGCCCCGUGGAAGGGACGGCCCGCCCGAGGACCCCUAAACUCUGUUUUUAGUGGAACUUCUGAGUAAAACAAACAAAUAAAUCAAAACUUUCAACAACGGAUCUCUUGGUUCUGGCAUCGAUGAAGAACGCAGCAAAAUGCGAUAAGUAAUGUGAAUUGCAGAAUUCAGUGAAUCAUCGAAUCUUUGAACGCACAUUGCGCCCGCCAGUAUUCUGGCGGGCAUGCCUGUUCGAGCGUCAUUUCAACCCUCAAGCUCAGCUUGGUGUUGGGACUCGCGGUAACCCGCGUUCCCCAAAUCGAUUGGCGGUCACGUCGAGCUUCCAUAGCGUAGUAAUCAUACACCUCGUUACUGGUAAUCGUCGCGGCCACGCCGUAAAACCCCAACUUCUGAAUGUUGACCUCGGAUCAGGUAGGAAUACCCGCUGAACUUAAGC